rnacentral:rRNA from 1 species
UACGUAGGGUCCGAGCGUUGUCCGGAAUUAUUGGGCGUAAAGGGCUCGUAGGCGGUUUGUCGCGUCGGGAGUGAAAACACGGGGCUUAACCCCGUGCCUGCUUCCGAUACGGGCAGACUAGAGGUAUGCAGGGGAGACUGGAAUUCCUGGUGUAGCGGUGAAAUGCGCAGAUAUCAGGAGGAACACCGGUGGCGAAGGCGGGUCUCUGGGCAAUAACUGACGCUGAGGAGCGAAAGCGUGGGGAGCGAACAGG